rnacentral:rRNA from 1 species
GACGAACGCUGGCGGCGUGCUUAACACAUGCAAGUCGAACGGAAAGGCCCUGCUUUUGUGGGGUGCUCGAGUGGCGAACGGGUGAGUAACACGUGAGUAACCUGCCCUUGACUUUGGGAUAACUUCAGGAAACUGGGGCUAAUACCGGAUAGGAGCUCCUGCUGCAUGGUGGGGGUUGGAAAGUUUCGGCGGUUGGGGAUGGACUCGCGGCUUAUCAGCUUGUUGGUGGGGUAGUGGCUUACCAAGGCUUUGACGGGUAGCCGGCCUGGGAGGGGGACCGGCCACAUGGGGACUGAGGUACGGCCCAGACGCCUACGGGAGGCAGCAGGGGGGAAUAUUGCACAAUGGGCGGAAGCCUGAUACGACAACGCCGCGUGCGGGAUGACGGCCUUCUGGGUGUAAACCGCUGUGGCCGGUGACGAAGCGAGAGUGACGGUAAUGGGUAAGGAAGCACCGGCUAACUACGUG